ensembl:lncRNA
GUUUGAUAAACAUUUUUAAUGAGAUUUGUAUUUUUAAAUUUAGUAUGUAAUAAAAAGAAGUGUUUGAGUGUCAUUUGUGGUGCUGUGUGCUAUUUACUCAUGUUUAGUUUUUUUCCCUGUCCACUUCCGGGAGGAGUGGAGCCAGUUGACAUUAGUACAUCCACAGUGCUAUGGCUGCCCACACUUGUGCCUCUGGAGCAUGCGUAGGUGUUCAAGAACCUAAGUUAUACUUGACUAAAAAUAUACAUGCAGGUGUGUUAUACCUUAACAAGUGUACCCUGUUUUGAAAUUUUAACUGGAAAAAAAUUUAUAGACUUGUUUCUCAUGCUUACUGUGAGCACUUUAAUUUCUGUAUCAUGCUUACUAUUCUAUCAUCAUACUAAGACUCAGGUAAGCACAUGCUUGUCAGUGAUGUGAAUACUAUAAGAUAUUUUAUUACAGGCAGUUUUCCAGUUGUCUUUUUAUUAUUAUAAGAUUCCCUGGAGAAUCAUUGGGAACCCUGUGAUGUGCCAGCUGCUGCCAUGGCUAUGUUUAUGAUCAGUUUCUGCUGUUAGUUUCUGGGACUUUUCUACCAUAGCUCCUUGUUCAUGUUGAAUUUGCCUUGCCCUGUCAUCUCACACUUAAAACAAAAGGUCCCAACAAUUUGCUGGCAAUAAUUACCAGCAAAUGUUAAUGGAUUAUGCUUCAUUUAGCCCCUUUCUCCUGGCUCAUAUUGGUGGACUGGGCACUGAAUGUUCUUGCUAGGUGUGGUGGCACAUUCCUGUGACUUUAGCACUCGGGAGGCAGGGACAGGAGGAUCAGAAGUUUAAUGUCAGAGUUGGAUACAUAGUUUGAGACUGGCCUGGGCUCAAACAACCAGUACAAGGUUGUUUCAAACCAAUAAACUGAAAAAUAAAUAAAAUGGAAAUCAUAUUUUGAAAUUUAUUACCUAGGAUUUUACUUACAGAGCCAUCAUGUACCUUGCCCCUCUUUGGUAAUUGUUUAAAAAGAAUAGGGAAGUUGGUUGUUGUUUCUAGGACUUACUUUGUAAGCAAGUCUGUUGUAAACUAGAGUGACAAUGCACUUUUAAGGAAAGUGGGAUUGAAUAAGGGGUGAAUGAAUAUAUCAGCUGGGAUUGUUGUAGUUUCUUGCCAACUUGAAAUGUAAGCUAUUGUAUUUUGAAAGAUGCAGAGAUGUAAACUACUAAAAAGCACCAGAAAGUUCAGAAGACAGGCAAAGAAGAAGAGGCAUGUCUCUUCUCUUUAUGGAUGGAACCCGCAGAGACCCAUGGCUGGUGUACUGUCUCUGACCUGUGAGAAGUCUCCGUUGUCACUGUGGGCCAGCAUCUUGCCCUUUCCUAGCCUCCUACUUUUUUUUUUUAAGAUUUAUUUUUAAAAACACUCAUUCAUGUGUGUCUGUUCCUGUGUGAGUAAAUCUCACAUGUCUAUGUGUGCUAGUCAUUAGAGCAUUGGAUCUUUGGAGCUGGAAUUGAAGGCAUUUGUGAGCCACCAGAUGAGAGAGCUGGGAACCAAACCUGGCUCCUCUGGAAGAGCAGCAAAUGCUCUUAAACACCAAUUCAUCUCUUUCAGUCCCCUUCUAGGUUCUUUCUAGACCAUGUAUUUUGUCACUCUGACCAAUUUAUUGGAACAGGGCGGUAGCCAGUGAUUUAAAAAAAAAUAGUAAUUUGAGUGCCUUCCAUGUAUUACAUUUGUGUUUAAUGUAUAAGCUGAAAAUUACUAAUUUUUGAAUGUUCAAAACAAAUAAAAAUGCAAGAAUUCUGAC